rnacentral:rRNA from 1 species
GUGAGUAACACGUGGGUGAUCUGCCUCGCACUCUGGGAUAAGCCUGGGAAACUGGGUCUAAUACCGGAUACGACCACGGACUGCAUGGUUUGUGGUGGAAAGGUUUACUGGUGCGAGAUGGGCCCGCGGCCUAUCAGCUUGUUGGUGGGGUAACGGCCUACCAAGGCGACGACGGGUAGCCGACCUGAGAGGGUGACCGGCCACACUGGGACUGAGACACGGCCCAGACUCCUACGGGAGGCAGCAGUGGGGAAUAUUGCACAAUGGGCGAAAGCCUGAUGCAGCGACGCCGCGUGAGGGAUGACGGCCUUCGGGUUGUAAACCUCUUUCGACAGGGACGAAGCGCAAGUGACGGUACCUGUAGAAGAAGCACCGGCCAACUACGUGCCAGCAGCCGCGGUAAUACGUAGGGUGCGAGCGUUGUCCGGAAUUACUGGGCGUAAAGAGCUUGUAGGCGGUUCGUCGCGUCGAUCGUGAAAACGUGCAGCUCAACUGCGCGCCUGCGGUCGAUACGGGCGGACUAGAGUACUUCAGGGGAGACUGGAAUUCCUGGUGUAGCGGUGAAAUGCGCAGAUAUCAGGAGGAACACCGGUGGCGAAGGCGGGUCUCUGGGAAGUAACUGACGCUGAGAAGCGAAAGCGUGGGUAGCGAACAGGAUUAGAUAC